AAACCUCUCCAGCCUCGAGAGCUUGGAAAGCUUGGACCUCAGUGGGAACUUCUUGGGAGUGGCUGGAGUUCCAAAGUUUAGCUCCACGCUGCGAUCGCUCAACCUGUCCAUCAACAACUUGACUGGGAGCGUCUCCAUCGGUGGUAACCUGGGACUGGAGGCACUGGAGCUCUCGCACAACGGAUUCAGCGGCUCCAUUCCAGAGACUUUCGGGGAGAUGACGAACUUGACGCGCCUGGACAUAUCGUAUAACAGGUUUACCGGAGAUCUACCCGAUAUCUGGAGCAAGAACUUGGAGCUCAGGUACUUGGAUAUCUCCAACAAUUCGCUCCAGGGCGGUUUGCCACCGAGCUUGCGAAGGCUACGCAAGCUCUCGGUUUUAAGCGCUAGAUCCAACUUUCUCUCCGGGCCACUGGAGCUGGAAGAUGGCGACUUUGCGAGCAUCGAGACUUUGCACCUCUUCCAAAACUUGUUUAACGGGACGGUACCAGCGAGGGUGGGAAGCUUGACGAACUUGAGGAUGCUGGUUCUCACGCAGAAUCGUUUCAGUGGCGCUAUACCUCCGGAGCUAGGAAACUGCUCGAACAUCAGAGAGAUAUGGCUCAACGGCAAUGACUUGACUGGAACCAUCCCAGGCGAGCUCUCGAAGCUGUCGCAUCUCCAGCAGCUAGUUCUCAAUGGCAACGACAUCGGUGGAGAGCUCCCUUCCGGACUCUCCAACUGCACGGAGCUGGUCGUUCUCUGGCUGGAGCAGAACAAGUUUUCUGGAAAUCUCCCGGACAGCUUCGCGAACUUGAGCCGCCUGCUCAUUCUCUCGCUCUCCGGCAAUGAUCUCGUCGGUUCCAUCCCGGCCUCCUACGGCAAGAUGAGCUCGCUGAUCGGCCUCGACGUUGGAUCGAACAGCCUCUCUGGAGAAGUCCCGGCCAUGCUGCAAAACGUCUCGACUUUGCAGUUCCUCUUCCUCUCAAACAACAGCUUCAGCGGCUCCAUCCCGGACUGGCUUCCCCGACUCAGGAACUUACGAGCCAUGGACUUCUCGCUUAACAGGUUCUCAGGCGAGAUACCGGCAAGCAUCGGCCGACUGUUCGCCAACGUCCAGCUCUACAACAUGACCAACACCACCCCGCUGGUUCACGCGCAAAGCCUCGUCUACAGUGGCUUCGCCUUCCCGACAACCAUAGACUUCUCCUCCAACCAGCUGAGUGGAAGCAUUCCAGCGACCAUCGGCGACCUCCACAACCUCCAGGUGCUGGACUUGAGCCACAACCAGCUAACCGGUCCCAUUCCCGAUUCCCUGGGAAACGCGAAGAACCUCUCCAGGGUGACGCUCGCGAGCAAUCGUCUCAAUGGCUCCAUACCAUCGUCCGUGGCGGACCUCUCGUUUCUCACCGUCUUCGACGUCUCCAACAACAGCCUGGUGGGACGGAUACCUUACAGCCCGCAACUCUCGUCCAUGGACGUGGCUCUCUUCGCGGGAAACCAUCUCUGUGGCGCGCCUGUGGCAAACUGCUCGAGCAGUGCUGCGCCGCCGGGUGGAAUCCAGUCCAGAGGUGGCGAGCUAGAAUCUCAAGAGGCGACGAGGAGAAAGACGCUCAUACCGAUCGUCAUCGCCAUCUUUGCGGCGGCCUUCUUCUGCGUCUUCCUGGCCAUGUACUUCGCGCUCGCUCGUCGGCGGCACAAGCUGUACUCCAACACCGACCGGGACAACGCCAGCUUCUCGCUCGCCUUCUGCGAGAAGCUCCCCGAGCAGAUCUCCGCGCGCAAGCUGGCGGCCGCCACAGACAACUUCAGCGGGGACAACGUCGUCGGGGACGGCGGCUUCGGCGUCGUGUACCGCGCAGUGCUGGAAAACGGCCAGGUGGUGGCCGUGAAGAAGCUCUCGUCGUGCGGCCUCCAGGGGGACCGCGAGUUCCGCGCCGAGCUCCAGACGCUGGGCGAGCUCAAGCACAAGAACCUGGUGCCGCUGCUGGGCUACUGCUCCGACAACAACGAUCGCCUCCUCAUCUACAAGUACCUCAAGAACGGCAGCGUCGACACUUGGCUCUACUGCCGCGAGCCCGGGAUGAAGCCGCUCGACUGGCCGACGAGGCUGAGGAUCGCCCGCGGCGCGGCGCAGGGGAUCGCGUACUUGCAUCAAGGUUGCGAGCAGCGGCACGCGAUCAUCCACCGGGAUAUCAAAGUGAGCAACAUACUCCUGGACGAAGAGUUUGAGGCUCACGUCGCGGACUUCGGGCUGGCGAGGCUGGUGAACGCUGGAGAGACGCAUGUAAGCACGGACGUGGCGGGAACCAUCGGCUACAUCCCACCGGAGUACAGCCACAAGUGCUUCGCGACGCCCAAGGGGGACGUGUACAGCUUUGGGGUGGUGUGCCUGGAGAUGCUCACGGCGAAGAGGCCGACGGACCAAUUCUUCCGGAAGAACACCGGGCUGGUGGCGUGGGUCUUGGGGUUGAGGAGUGGGGAGGAGAAGAGGAUGGCGCUGGACGAGUGCUUGCGGGAGCGGUGUGAGCAUGGCGCGGAGUUUGAUCAGAUGGUGGAGAUGAUGAGGAUCGCUUGCUGGUGCUGUAGAGACGCUCCAUCGAAGCGUCCUAGCAUGCAGGAGGUGGCGAGCUUGUUGGAGCGGCUAGAGAAGCGCGUGGUUCUUGGUGGUGGUGGUGGUGGUGGAUCGCCGACGCCGCUGCUCGAGAGGGAUCGAGAUGGGAGGAGCAGCAGCACCAGCAGUAGCAGCAGCGCUCCAGUCGAUGAUCCUUGCGUGGUUGAGCUCACAACCACGGUAUAGUGUAAACUUUUACUCGAGAAAGGAAAGCUUACAACAAACGUGCCAAUGGUGGCCGGGCGAUGCAAUCGAGCAAUGGGCUCUUGGGUCUUGUGAGAUCGUGCCGCGAUUUCGCUACGGCGGAGGCGAUCAUUGCGUCGCUGGAUCCAAUCGCGGAGGAUGUUUACCUUGCCAACAGUCUGAUUGAGAUUUAUGGGAAAUGUAUAGUUAGAUUGUCAAGAAGCUCGAACCAGUCUGGUGGUUCUAUAAGUCCAUAACUAUCAAUCCUUUAAGAAUUUUGGUAAUGUACAAAUUGCUCUCAAACUCGCUUCUUUGGAUUCUCUUGUUUUGCUCAAGAGUGUCAGAAGCUUGAAACUCUCUUCGCUGUGUUUGCAUGCUUGGAGCGACAUGAGCACACAGCCAACUACAAUCUUUUAUCACUGGUUUCCUUCCUCCGGUGAGUCUUGCAGCCUUGAAAUCCAUCAAAAGCUUCAUCACAAAUGUUCUAGAACUGAAGAGCAUUGCAGUUCAAGGAAUCCAGACUCAGCCUACAAGACUCUGGAGCGGGAGGGGCAAAAAUACGCCUUGACAUCUGAGCCAUGCUGCUUUUCAGGAAAGGUAAAUCUCAGCUUCUUUCUUGCACUUCACAUGCGCUUUGUGCUUAUUAUCAUCACUCCAAACUUGCAUAUUUGAGGGUCAACAACGAGGACGAACGAGAAGAAUUGAUCGAGAAAUGCUCGCCCAAAUGCUCGCUUCAUUUGUUCCGAAACAUCAACUCUCGUCAUUGCCAUGGCAACAAGCUCAAAUGUCUCCAAUCGAUCAAGCCCCAUGCUACAAUGGAUACGCAGCUGUUAUCAAUGUGAAACUCACAGACACAGACGAUUACUUCUCCAACGAAGUGGGAAGAGCGAUAGGAUUUGUGACUGCUCGCGAAGUGCCUUCACCAUAAUCGGGACCCACAUUUUAUGUGAGUGGAGAGUCCUUGGGAUGCUAAACCAAACUUUUUCUUGUAGUGUUAUGGAGUUGGCAAACUGUGUUGUGUGUUGAGAGUGGCCUACAAUCAAGAAGGUAAUCAAGAGAGUGGACAAUAAAUUUUACGACUCUGAGAGGUUGAGCUCAUGAGGGAGUGCAAGCACGAGAACGUCGUGAAAGUUCUUGACAUGGGCAAGGAAGAAGAUGGAGGUGACAUGGUUCUCGAGCACUUUUGGCAUAUUAGAAUUCAAUAAGGAUGGGCGACUACGUUACAAGCUCUCUAAGGUGGGCUGGAUUAAGGAAACCAUGUGGUAGCUUCUAAUGGGUUUAGCAGGCUUGCAAGCGAGAAGUUGUGAUCCUGCCCGAGUCAACUCUACCAACACUAAAUUGGAUCACUAGGAUUCAGGGCUCCUGAAGCUAUCUCCACAGAAGUUUGGAAAAGGUGUGGACAUGUGGUUAAGAAGCCUUUCAAGUGGUUAUAGAAAUUAUGAUUUAGGAGGAUGAGGCAAAGGUGAUAGAUAAAAUGAAGAAAUUGUACAAGAAAGAUUGGUCUAAGAAGAUUGAAGCCAAGGAUGUAGUGGAUUUGUUAUGGCGUUCGCUCGUUUGAGAUCAGUUUACGCUCACAAGCUUUAGGUGACAUUAGAAAAUACCCAAGAAAAGAAACUGUUGUCAAAGAAGAAAAGGUAAUGGCAAAUACCCUUUCCAAAAGUUAUGUCUGUUCUUAAAAGAAUUUUCUUAAAUUGCAUAGUGUCUAGGUAAAGAGGCUGCCAGAUUUUCUCACUCAGUUCUUGAGCGCCAGAAUUCUGCUGCUCUCCUCUUCUCGAGAUCUUGGACACCGAGGAGCUGCUCGAUCACCAAAGCCAUAUCAUCCCAGCUUCUCCAGAGUUCACAUUUAACUUCCUUGCGAAUUCCACCACGGCCUCCUUGAGAGCUACUGCUGCCGAGUUCGACAACUCCUCCACGAAAAAGAACGAAAACUUCGUUCGAGUGUGGGAUUCCCGGCUCGCAGACGUUGUGUUCGUGCCUUCUUCGCAGCUCUCUGCACGCGGCGGCGCUGGAAUGCUGAGGCGGCAUAUCGAAUCGCUGCAAGACAAGAAUAUCUGACGGUUGAAAUGAAUGACUUCGAAGGCCGCCCGGAAAAAUUUCCCUGUACAAUCCACCGCAGCCUUGGGUGCGAACAACGUGCCUCUGCGCGCUUGCAAUCCCGGGCUUGUAAAGCGGCGUCCAUCUCCUCGCGUUGCAUCUGAAAGAUGGGAUCAAAUGCAAUCGAUCGGCAGCAAUUCAUGCUACUCCGGAGAUCAAGCUCGUCACCAUCUUCAACGACGCGGGCCUGAAAGUAAACACGCGCUUUAGUCCAAGGACUUAAGAGAAAACCAACUUCUCUAGUUGUAGAAGUUCCUACGGACUGGCAGGAGUCAAGUCUAUGAGAGAAACAAAAGCGUCUACCAGAGUCCCUUGUAAAAGCUAUCCUGUUGAUGGAUUGUAGAGGCAAGUGGUAGAUGGCGGCUUAGGCGGCCAACAUCCCCGUCCACGACACCACGUCUCGCUCUUGUUGUGCCAUUGUGAUGUUCCAGGAGAGACGUUUAGCUGCCGGAUUCUGGGUGCGCUUGAUCUCAGCCCUUGGUGGGCUUGAUUUCAGGCGCUUGGCUGCCGCUUGAAUCUGCUGGAACCACAAGCUCGUCGGGGGUCGCUGGUGGGUGGGACGUGAUAGCUUGAUCCAAGUUGAAUGGCGCCACGAUGCAUUGUUGCGUGCGAUUCACUCCAACUGGCUUGACUUGGAAGACUACGCUGGACGAUUGAAGUCAGAUAGUUAUUUCGUCUUUCUUCCAGCUUUGAUGGUUCAACGCGCUUCAAAGUCAUCUACCGUUGACUUGGUUUUCCUUAAACAUCAGUCAAAACUGGUCGACUAGAUUAGACAGAUAAACACCUAUUUUGGAUUAAAUAUUAUUUAUUUUGUGCUCUUUAAAGGUUAUAUUGGCAUUAUUAUUUUAGUGACUAAGUAAAAUAUCGUGCAUGUACGAUCUGUGGCAUUAAGAUGGUGUGGUCAGAAUGAAGAUGAAGAUCAAGACGGACCAGAGUAAAGUGAACAUUGUCAAUUGGGCAGAAAUAGGGAGAAACACCAAAAAGCUCUGGAAGAACGUACCAAAAGCGUCAGCCAGAGUCCCUUAUAAAGGAAAGGCCAAGAAAGCUCUCCUGUCGAUGGAUUGUGCAAAGCGCGUGAUCGAUGCGACCACCGUCCCGUCCACGACAUCUCGUCUCGCUCCGCCAUCUUGUUGUGCCGUUGUGUGAUGUUCCAGAGAAGACGUUUGGAUGCCGGAUGCUGGAUCUCUUGGUGGCACUCGGACAUCCGGCAUGAUUUCAAUUUGCUGGAGCCACAAACUGGGGGAGCGUGAUCGUUUGAUCCAAGCUGACUGCAUUGUUGCUUGCGAUUCAAUCGGAAGACUACGCUGGAGCAUCGACACGACGUUCCUGAACUCCGCCGCGGCCAGAUCCCCUGCCUGGGCAUACGCGACGAGCAUCGCGGUCCACGCCACGAUAUCCCUCUCGGCCAUGCUCUCGAACGCCCACCUCGCCUCAAGAAGAUGCCCGGAUUUACCACAAAAUGCGUCUAGGAUUCGAGUUUGUUUUUUUCAAGGUCAAUCGGUACAGUCCACCAAGUCGAAUUGUCCAAGUCCACAUUCUAUCCCAACACAUAUCGUGUAAACUCUGGCGAAAACUCUUCCACUCUUUGAUGUUCUGAUCCAUCGGUUUGAUUAAAGAGUAUCGGCCAUGUCUCUCGCGGAUUUGCUGCUGCCUUUGUUUCUACUCGUCUUUCUCACAACAUCCCGGUCACAGUGCCCCACGAAUCCAUCCACAAUCGUGAACGACACACAGGUUCUUCUCUCUCUCCGUGACAGGCUUGGCAUCAAAGCGUGGAACGAGACCGCCAAUCCAAGAGCAUGGCGCGGUGUGGAGUGGAGCUCGGACAACCGAGUGGAGGGCCUCAAUAUGUCCAGGUUAAAUCUCUCGGGAGUUCUUCCUUCCAUCUGGGCCGAGCUUCCAUCGCUGGCUCGCUUGGACCUCUCGCAAAACGGCCUCUCCUCGCUGGAAGUCCCUGGUUGCAAGAACACGCAGCUCAAGCUCCUCAACUUGAGCUCCAAUUCUCUGCAAGAGGUCCCGGCAAACCUCUCCAGCCUCGAGAGCUUAGAAAGCCUGGACCUCAGUGCGAAUUUCUUAACAGUGCUCGGUGUUCCAAAGUUUAGCUCCACGCUGCGAUCGCUCAACCUGUCCAUCAACAACUUGAAUGGGAGCGUUUCCAUCGGUGGCAACCUGGGACUGGAGGCACUGGAGCUCUCGCACAACGGACUCAGCGGCUCCAUUCCAGAAACUUUCGGGGAGAUGACGAACUUGACGCGCC
rnacentral:lncRNA from 1 species